rnacentral:rRNA from 1 species
GAUAGCAAUAUCGGCGACAGGCUCAGUAACACGUCGUUAACAUACCCUUAGGUCAGGGAUAAGCACGGGAAACUGUGUGUAAUACUUGAUAGGGGAUGCUUCCUGGAACGGUGCAUCCUUUGAAACUCGUGCCUAAGGAUUGGACGGCGGCGGAUUAGGUAGUUGGCGGUGUAAUGGACCACCAAGCCAAAGAUCCGUACGGGCCAUGAGAGUGGUAGCCCGGAGAGGGACACUGAGAUACUGGUCCCAGCCCUACGGGGUGCAGCAGGCGCGAAACCUUUACAAUGCACGCAAGUGUGAUAAGGGAAUCCCCAGUGCUCAUGUAAUGCAUGGGUUUUUGCCAAGUGUAAAUAGCUUGGCGAAUAAGUGGUGGGAAAGACUGGUGCCAGCCGCCGCGGUAACACCAGCGCCACGAGUGGUAACCACGAUUAUUGGGCCUAAAGCGUCCGUAGCCGGCCUUGUAAAUCUUUUGUGAAAUUGAUCGGCUUAACCGAUCAGCGUGCAAGAGACACUGCAAGGCUCGAGACCGGGAGGAGUCAGAAGUAUUCCAGGGGGAGCGGUAAAAUGUUAUAAUCCCUGGAGGACUACCUGUGGCGAAGGCGUCUGACCAGAACGGAUCUGACGGUGAGGGACGAAAGCUAGGGGAGCGAACCGGAUUAGAUACCCGAGUAGUCCUAGCCGUAAACGCUGUGAGCUAGGUGUUGCGCUAACUACAUGUUAGCGCAGUGUCGAAAGGAAGCUGUUAAGCUCACCGCCUGGGAAGUACGGUCGCAAGACUGAAACUUUAAGGAAUUGGCGGGGGAGCACCACAAGGGGUGCGGCGUGCGGUUUAAUCUAACUCAACGCAGAGAACCUUACUAGAAGCGACGGCAGGAUGAAGGUCAACUUGAAGAGUUUACCUGACGAGCCGAGAGGUGGUGCAUGGCCGCCGUCAGCUCGUGCCGUGAAGUGUCCAGUUAAGUCUGGCAACGAGCGAGACCUGUAUCCUCAAUUGCUAACAGCCACAUGUGGGACUGAGCACUUUGAGGAGACUGCCCUGGAAACAGGGAGGAAGGUGCAGGCCACGGUAGGUCUGUAUGCCCCGAAUCUUCUAGGCUACACGCGCGCAACAAUGGUUGGGACAAUGGGAUGCCACUCCGAAAGGAGAAGCUAAACCUCUAAACCCAAUCCAAGUCCAGAUUGAGGCUUGCAACUCAGCCUCAUGACGACGGAAUCCCUAGUAAUCAGAAGUCAUCAUCUUCUGGUGAAUAUGUCCCUGCUCCUUGCACACACCGCCCGUCAAAUCAACCGAGCAGGGUCUCGGUAAAGUGCAGCCCUUUAGUUGUACUGAAUCGAGGCUCAGUGAGGUGGGUUAAGUCGUCACAAGGUA